rnacentral:rRNA from 1 species
AGUGAACGCUGGCGGUAGGCCUAACACAUGCAAGUCGAACGGCAGCACAGUAAGAGCCUGCUCUUACGGGUGGCGAGUGGCGGACGGGUGAGGAAUACAUCGGACUCUACUUUUUCGUGGGGGAUAACGUAGGGAAACUUACGCUAAUACCGCAUACGACCUACGGGUGAAAGCAGGGGAUCUUCGGACCUUGCGCGAUUGAAUGCGCCGAUGUCGGAUUAGCUAGUUGGCGGGGUAAAGGCCCACCAAGGCGACGAUCCGUAGCUGGUCUGAGAGGAGGAUCAGCCACACUGGAACGUGGACACGGUCCAGACUCCUACGGGAGGCAGCAGUGGGGAAUAUUGGACAAUGGGCGCAAGCCUGAUCCAGCCAUACCGCGUGGGUGAAGAAGGCCUUCGGGUUGUAAAGCCCUUUUGUUGGGAAAGAAAAGCAGCAGGUUAAUACCCCGCUGUUCUGACGGUACCCAAAGAAUAAGCACCGGCUAACUUCGUG